UUUAAACCCUAACUUUCCCCUUCUUGUUCUUGAGAUGUAUGGAAUUUCUCUCUUGUGAAGAUGAUGUCUCAAACCUAGUUUGAAUAAUCGCAUUCAUAAAAACUUACAUCUGGGGACACACUUUUGAGUGACAUACUUGUCAUUUACCUGUUUGAUAUAAACAGCCAUUUGCCUACAAUUAGAUAUCUCAAUCGUGCAUAUUUUAUUUUGAAAGGUUCUAAUUUUCCCAGUCCUACACAGCUUUUACAAUUGUGGUCAACAUACUGGUCCUAUUCAAAAUUAUUAAAUUGGUGAUUUUAGCAUUUAAUUUUAAUCUACUAAUUUACAAUUGCAAAAUAAAAUAAUAAUAAUAAUAUAAUCUGAAACAUUUGUAAAAAUAUAGCCAAGUAAGAUGGUCAAAGCACAUAGAAUUGAUGUGUUUUUUCAUAACCAUAUAUGAAUAUGUAAUGUAACUAGGGUGAAAAAGUGCCCAAGAGUUAAACUGAGUUUUAGCAUGAGGGUCUUCCAUCUUCUUUGCCCUGGUCACCUAUGUGGCCGUGUUAAAAAUAGAAACAUUUCCUCCUAUAAAUCAUUAGGUAUGACAAAUCAUUGAGGGUAAGUGCAUAAACAUGUGUGCUUUGUAAAUUUAUUACCUAAGCAUGUCCUAUAGGAGAACUGUAAAGCUUAUCCUUAGUGGAUUCAAAAAAACAGCAGCAAAACCAAAAGUAUGAGAACAAUGUAUGUUUCUAAAUUUCUUUGCUCAUUUGCAUCAUUCUCUGCCGUAAUGACUGAAGAGAUAUAUCCUGCUUCAUGAGCCAUGAUAGGAUAGAAAUUAAACAUGCAAAUGAGAGUGAGUGUGAAAAUGAAAGCCGUGUUUGGCAAUAUUUCACACCUCUUGUUCGCCAUGAUAGUAAAAGAAAUAGAUAAUGCUUGUGUUUUGUAUACCUACACCAACACCUCACACAUAUAUAGAGAGAGAAAGAGUACUGUUUGUGUCGGUUUUUACGAUGGCUGGCCUAUGCAAAGUUUCAUAGUUAUGGUUAGAGACAUGAGUGAAGUGUGGUCGUGAUGUAUAUAUAAAAUAACAAGUGGACAGUUGAGAAGAGAUAAAGAAACGAUUUUUUUGGGUAUAUUCCCGUUCUUCUUCUUCUUCUUCUUCUUUUUUUUUUUUUUUUUUUUUCCUGCUUAAGAAUUAGUAGUACCCACUAAUCUGUUGUGUUAAGAACAAAAAAGGCGAUUAAUCUUGAGCUAUUUGAAAUUUUGUUUUGGGAUUUUGUAGACUCCUCAGUCUAUUAGCUGUGGUUGUUUGAUUUGGUUCUUUAUGUUCAAUUCUUGUUUGUUCCUGAUUUUUAAUCCCAUUUUAAUUUGUCAUUUUUUAUUUUGUUCUAUAAUUUCCUUUCUCUGGUUAUUGUUUCUUGACUUUUGUUAGAAUUAGCGCUGUCCUAUGCAGUUUGUGUGUGUGUGUGUGUGUGUGUGUGUGUGUGUGUGUGUGUGUGUGUGUUGAUUGAUGUCCUUUCUUGUUUUCAGCUUUAGCUGCUUAUAUUUUUUCCACAUACUUUUCAUAAUCUUUAAGUUGUGAACAAAUUUUAUUUUAUGAGAGCAUUUCCUUUUACUUUUUUCCAUUUGCUUUAGAUUGGAUUUCCACCAAUUGUGAUGGUUUUUUAUUUCCUUGCUCUUUUAAACUUUAUGUCAACAUGUUUUUCAUUGCAAAAUUUUUCUUUUAAAAGGCUUUAUUUUAUUUUAUUUUUUUUCUGAUAUUUGCUGUUGGUGUUGUUCUUCAUUAUAAUUGAAUUUGCCAAGUAAAAUGUCCUUAUUUUUAUUAUAAAUUUAUGAAUCAUCAGUUUAGCUUUUUGCUGAAACAUUAGCUUAAAAGCAUGGCCAAUUCUAUAACACUCACAGAUCCCCUGCUUUGAUAAAAUAAAAAUACUAGUCUAUAGGCUCUGCCAAGUGUUUGGAUUGUUGUCUCUUAAGGAGAUCACCUCUGCUAUCAUUAUAUAGUAUACAAAAUUUAUUCCACAAUACAUAAUUACAUUUCUCUGAGUGACAAUUAUAUCUACUUCUGAUUCCACAAUUCUAGUCUAUAAGCUUGAUCAUCUUUUUUAGUUAAUAAUAAGAUUCUUAAUUUUUGUUUUUUUUGUUUUUUUGUUUUUUUUUUUAACAUGUCACUAGAAGUAGAGGGGUGACAGCUUCCAAUAUUAUUGCCGUAUUUAGCACUCCCUACUCGAUCUUAAUGGCAUUAAACAAUUUCUAGUAUUUUUUUUUAGUCAGUUUCUAGCAUUUUUUUUCUAGUUUUUUUCAGUCAGUCUAUAUCAUUUAAACACACAUGAACUACUAUAGUCUAUAUGCUGCAAGUUAAUCUGAUCUAAAUAGUAUCCUAGCACUUGGGUUUCUAGUUGCCUACAGUAGUUAUAUAUUAUACAUUGCAUACAUCAAAAUCCUGGAGUUGCAUCAAAGAGAAUUUAGAAUUAGUUCUGAUAGUGAAUAAUUACAAUUGGUUUAGUAUUGAUUAGUCAAGAAGAUUCUUUGAUGGGAUCUGAAGUAGUUUCUGGUUCAUCUCGCCGGUGCUAUGGUGAUGAGAAGGCUGAAAGUACUGUGAAUUUUUUAGUUGUAAGAAAAAGAAUAAACAAAUGUCUGAACAUAUAAUAAGCUGCAUAAAGUCUGAGCUGGGGAAGCCUGAGUUACAUAGUUUUUGACGAAGGUUUGUGUCAAUGGCUUCUUGGUUAUGAUGUUUACUCAUGUAUGAAACAUGGCAAUGCUUAUUUAAACAAAACCGAAAUGGAAUUCAAUAAAAAACUGUAAUCUAAUUAGCUCAUUAGAACUAUCCAAUAGUUAUAUUAUAUAUAUAUAUAUAUAUAUAUAUAUAUAUAUAUAUGGUGUGUGUGUGUUUACAAUUUAAGAGCUACUAUAUACCUUCUUAUUCCCUUGUUUAAGGAACAAAGCCAACAAAAUGAAGUAAAUCGCUCUAAGCAAACAAUGUUGCACACAACUAGGAUAAUGAGUUACGCGCGGAAGGCUAAAAAGGUUAAGCACGAUUUUUUAUGAAGUUAAUCACUUGUAUGUGACACAAUUUAUUAUACAUCAUUGCGGUAUAAUUAUAGUAAGUUAUAUAUAUUAAAAAAAAAAAAAAAACAGAUGAAGUUGGGAUCAGGGAAGGCGCUAACUCGUGCUCAACUAUUUUGCGCAACACAUAAGAGCAAGAAAGAUGGCAAAGCUAGUGAUGAACAUGCUGCCAAAAUGAUUGCAGACACAACUAGAAGAGCUUGCUGCAACUCAGCCUUCUAAGCCAGAUGAACCUUCACCCCAUGAUUUUUAUGCCCAAGUUAGGGGAGAAGAAAGAAGGGGCUGUGUUCGGAUGUAUGGCUUGGGACCUACAUCUACUAGUCUUUAGGGGCCAUCUCCUAGUAAAGCAGACCUGAUAAGGAGGACCUCACAAGCAGAGGAGACCCGUGUUACUCAUGCAGAAAUGAAGGAGACAGUGGAAAAGAUGCGUGUUCAGUAUGAUGAAAAAUAUAAAGCUUUGAAUGCAAAAAUGGCUAUGAUUUUGCGUCACAUUUAAAAUCAAAAUUCUAAUGUACAAGUACCCGGCUCCUCAACUACACUUGGUGAUCCUUAAAUUUUAGUUUUGGUCAUGAAAUUUCGUCCUUGGGCAAUUUGAAGCAAGACGAGAUAUGAAGUUAAACCAUUAAUUCUCAAGACCCUUACAUAGUCUCACUCAAAUUCUCAAUGAAAUGUUGAUGUUUUAUUUUGAAUGAUUUCCUUUUGAAGCUUUAUUACAUUUGUGGUGUUUCCUUUUGAACCUUUUAUUAGCACUUCACAUUUUGAAACAAAACUUAUAUGUUAUGGGAUGUUAUUGAAUUUUAAUGCAACUUUGUUCUA